GAUGGCAGUAGGUUAUCAGAACUUAUUAACAUUAGUGUCACUAAAGUUGGUAUACCACCCCCCUACUGCUAAAUUU
rnacentral:sRNA from 1 species